rnacentral:rRNA from 1 species
GCCUGCAUGAAGUCGGAAUUGCUAGUAAUCGCGGAUCAGCAUGCCGCGGUGAAUACGUUCCCGGGCCUUGUACACACCGCCCGUCACACCAUGGGAGCCGGUAAUACCCGAAGUCAGUAGUCCAACCUCGUGAGGACGCUGCCGAAGGUAGGAUUGGCGACUGGGGUGAAGUCGUAACAAGGUAAC